rnacentral:rRNA from 1 species
UACGGAGGGUGCAAGCGUUAUCCGGAUUCACUGGGUUUAAAGGGAGCGUAGGUGGGUUGGUAAGUCAGUGGUGAAAUCCCCGAGCUUAACUUGGGAACUGCCAUUGAUACUAUCAGUCUUGAAUACUGUGGAGGUUAGCGGAAUAUGUCAUGUAGCGGUGAAAUGCUUAGAUAUGACAUAGAACACCAAUUGCGAAGGCAGCUUGCUACACUGUUAUUGACACUGAGGCACGAAAGCGUGGGGAUCAAACAGG